AUGGACAUUGGGGUGCACCUCGCCAACGAGCCGCCAGGGAUCUCUUGCCUGGGCCUACGAGGCGGCAGCCCACUGACCAACAUCGAAGCCGUCGACAAAGGCGUCGUCGUCAUCACGACGACCUUCCUCCACGACUUCAGCCGCAUGCUCUAUCUCGUCUACGACGCCGUCAAUGGGUCGCUCCACAUGAUCCCGGCGCCGGAAAGCCCCUGCUGGAGGUUCACGGGCCUCACCAUUCGCAUGCUCAUCGCGCGGCCACGCCAUGGUGGGGACUAUGCCCUAGUCCUCGCGGGCAAGUUGGCGGACGACGCCGGUGGUGGAGAGGAGCAAGAUGCUCUCCUGCUGUGGCGGCCCGCCUCCUCGUCCUUGCCGCCAUGGUCUGAGGUCAAGAAGGCUACAUUCCCAAACAAGUCUUGCGUCGACAUGCGUGUGUUCCAACCCGACGUGGUAUUUUCGUUCGACGGCAUCGGCUACUGGGUGGACCUCCUGCGUGGCGUCACGUACUGCCUCUUGGACACCCUAUUCAACAACGACGGUGAUGACGACCCUGUGCUGGAGUUUGGCUUCUUUCCAUUGCCCCCAGAGUUGCCCGGAGCAGAUCACCGACGCAGCAACUCCCGGGUGGCGCAUCUGGAAGCCUACCGCACCAUGCACAUCGUCCAGGACUCCAUCAUCAAGUUGGUCUCCAUCGACGGCUUCCUCGAGCACGUCGACCUCAAGGACCGCACCGUGACGGUGUGGAGACUGUUGGACCCUGACAUGGGGUGGGAGAAAGAGUAUGAGCUCCGCCUCGAGACCCUCUGGGGACUCGAUGGAUUCCGCGACCUCCCAAAGGACAUAUCCCCCAUGUACCCUCUUUUGAGUACAGACGAUCAUGACAUUGUCUACAUCGCGCUCGGCGAGUGCCGCGAGAGCCGGAGAAUAUGGAAGUUCAUCCCAAAAUGUGCACACUAUUUGCUCGCGAUCAACAUGCGAAAUAACACCAUCCAGGCCUCCACAUGUCUUGCGGACUAUUUUGGCAGCCUUGACAUCAACCACGUCAUCUCUUGUGAUUUCAGCCGGUAUAUUUGCGUCGUGGGCCUUGAUCUCUAUAUAAUGAUGACAGAGACGAUGAGACAGAUGUCCUUGACAUCUUUGGACCCCUUUGACUAUGACGAAGCAGAGGCUACAAAGAUGAUGAAGGAGGGGCCAAGGAGCUGGCGAGAGACCUUGAAGGAUGAAGAUAGAUUUCCCCUUCCACUUCCAGCUCAUUACUAUUUGCAGCCAUCUCUGGCAAGAUUAGCCCAACAAGUUCUUCCUGACUUGGUUUGA
rnacentral:rRNA from 1 species